AACGAACGCUGGCGGCAUGCCUAACACAUGCAAGUCGAACGAGACCUUCGGGUCUAGUGGCGCCCGGGUGCGUAACGCGUGGGAACCUGCCCUUAGGUUCGGAAUAACUCCCCGAAAGGGGUGCUAAUACCGGAUAAUAUCUUCGGACCAAAGAUUUAUCGCCUUUGGAUGGGCCCGCGUUGGAUUAGCUAGUUGGUAGGGUAAAAGCCUACCAAGGCGACGAUCCAUAGCUGGUCUGAGAGGAUGAUCAGCCACACUGGGACUGAGACACGGCCCAGACUCCUACGGGAGGCAGCAGUGGGGAAUAUUGGACAAUGGGCGAAAGCCUGAUCCAGCAAUGCCGCGUGAGUGAUGAAGGCCUUAGGGUUGUAAAGCUCUUUUACCCGGGAUGAUAAUGACAGUACCGGGAGAAUAAGCACCGGCUAACUCCGUG
rnacentral:rRNA from 1 species